GUCUGAAUCAUUGCAAGAAAAAGCAUGUUCUCUGGCAGUGCCUUUUUCCCCACCGUCAGAGCAUUGUACAUCUUUGAUGAGGCUGCGCGUCCCUGUUGGUGCAAGCAUCUGCUUCGACGCUGCUUUUUCCUCCAUCGUCGGAACAUUGUGAACGCCUGACCGGACAUGAGCGCCUCCCCGUCAGUGCAAGCAUAUGUUCCGACGGUGUCUUCUUCCCCAUCGUCAGAGUAUUGUGAAUCGUUGACGAGGCACCACCUCCUUGUCAGUGCUAUUCGUAACCCCUAAUCGGUCGAGCAAGAUUCACUCCACCCAUAAUGUUGAAAAGGGGCAUUACAGAAAGCCCUAAUCUCAACCACUCACCAAAAGCACCAUCUCUCCUGAACAAUCUUCUUGCCAUUGAAGUCAAGCAGCGUCCACUUCCACAUUACUCGCUGUUGAGCCAUGGGUUCAUCCAUCAGCCACACGGCUGCUCCCCUUGGCCGGUCUCACACCUCCUCCUUCAUCUCCCUCGGUGGACACCAAUGAGGCACUGCAACAAUUCACAGAACCAUGAACAGACGGGACUCUGUCGCCAUGCACCGGAGGAUUAUGUGCUUACCUGACACUAAGCAUCAUUCGUUGUUCUCACUCAUUAUACUUGUUGGCUUCUUGAUUCAUUGGUGUGAAGCAUUAGGUCCUUUUCCAGGCCCUCAUCUGCGUUUUCCUUUUAUUUAUAUUUUUUUCCCACUGUGUUGCUUUUUUCUAAUGUUUUAUGGAUUUACUCUUGAUGCACUUUCCCACCUUAUUAUGGUUCAAUGGAGUAACAGUUGACCAUCAUGCUUGGAUAUAAAUAUAAUUCCAAUUAUUCUUCAUCUUC